AACGAACGCUGGCGGCAGGCUUAACACAUGCAAGUCGAGCGCCCCGCAAGGGGAGCGGCAGACAGGUGAGUAACGCGUGGGAAUCUACCCAUCUCUACGGAAUAACUCAGGGAAACUUGUGCUAAUACCGUAUACGCCCUUAGGGGGAAAGAUUUAUCGGAGAUGGAUGAGCCCGCGUUGGAUUAGCUAGUUGGUGGGGUAAAGGCCUACCAAGGCGACGAUCCAUAGCUGGUCUGAGAGGAUGAUAAGCCACAUUGGGACUGAGACACGGCCCAAACUCCUACGGGAGGCAGCAGUGGGGAAUAUUGGACAAUGGGCGCAAGCCUGAUCCAGCCAUGCCGCGUGAGUGAUGAAGGCCUUAGGGUUGUAAAGCUCUUUCACCGGAGAAGAUAAUGACGGUAUCCGGAGAAGAAGCCCCGGCUAACUUCGUGCCAGCCGCCGCCGUAA
rnacentral:rRNA from 1 species